GGGGAUCUACGGAGCCCUGUAACCCGGGUCGAAUGACCCGCAGCAGACGGAAGACAGAAA
rfam:Gemmobacter megaterium strain DSM 26375 genome assembly, contig: Ga0111664_102